rnacentral:lncRNA from 1 species
AUCAGACCCUGUUAAUUAAAGCUCGCCCCGGUCCAUCAUUCUGAGGAGCUGCAGUGCCCUGCUCCUUCCUGAUGGCUUAGAGAUUCUCCUUAACUCCCAGCCAUGGAUCUUGGAGAAUUGCCCCCGAGAUCAGCAGGAGAGUCUCAGUGCCUUCGCUGACGUUCCUUUGAUGCGCUUCUAACUCUCUCUGAGAACAUCGCCCUG